rnacentral:rRNA from 1 species
CUGGUGAUUACCCUGAGCAGUAUUGUUUUAAAAUGGAUUGAACGAGAGAGUUUGAUCCUGGCUCAGAUUGAACGCUGGCGGCAUGCCUAACACAUGCAAGUCGAACGGUAGCAGGCCUUCGGGUGCUGACGAGUGGCGGACGGGUGAGUAAUGCGUAGGAAUCUGUCUUUUAGUGGGGGACAACCCAGGGAAACUUGGGCUAAUACCGCAUGAGCCCUGAGGGGGAAAGCGGGGGAUCUUCGGACCUCGCGCUAAGA